AAUGAACGCUGGCGGCAUGCCUAACACAUGCAAGUCGAACGAAGGCUUCGGCCUUAGUGGCGCACGGGUGCGUAACCCGUUGGAAUCUGCCCUUGGGUUUGGCAUAUCAGUUAGAAUUGCCUGCUAAUACCGGAUGAUGUCCUACGUCCAAAGGUUUAUCGCGCCAGGAUGAGCCCGCGUAGGAUUAGCUUGUUGGUGGGGUAAAUGCCUAUCACUGGUAGGUUACUUAGCUGGUUUCAGAGGAUGAUCUCCGACACUGGUCGGAAGAAACGGCCCAGAAUCUUAGGGGAGGGAGGAGAGGGGGAUAUAGGAAAGUGGGGGGAGGGCUGAAGGAGCAAUGCCGGGUGAGUGAUGAAGGCCGGGGGGAUGUAAAGCUCGUUUACCCGGGGUGAUAAUGACGGUACCGGGAGAAUAAGCACCGGCUAACUUCGUG
rnacentral:rRNA from 1 species